rnacentral:rRNA from 1 species
UACGUAGGGGGCAAGCGUUGUCCGGAAUCAUUGGGCGUAAAGCGCGCGUAGGCGGCCCGGUAAGUCCGUUGUGAAAGUCAAAGGCUCAACCUUUGAACGCCGAUGGAUACUGCCGGGCUAGAGUCCGGAAGAGGCGAGUGGAAUUCCUGGUGUAGCGGUGGAAUGCGCAGAUAUCAGGAGGAACACCGAUGGCGAAGGCAGGUCUCUGGGCCACUACUGACGCUGAGAAGCGAAAGCAUGGGGAGCGAACAGG